rnacentral:rRNA from 1 species
CUGAACCAGCCAAGUAGCGUGAAGGAUGUCUGCCCUAUGGGUUGUAAACUUCUUUUAUACGGGAAUAAAGUGAGCCACGUGUGGCUUUUUGUAUGUACCGUAUGAAUAAGGAUCGGCUAACUCCGUGCCAGCAGCCGCGGUAAUACGGAGGAUCCGAGCGUUAUCCGGAUUUAUUGGGUUUAAAGGGAGCGUAGGCGGGUUGUUAAGUCAGUUGUGAAAGUUUGCGG